CGGCGAGGAGGGGGCGCGCUUCCGGGUUUCAGACGAGGCGGAGGCGAGGGCGCGGGGCGGGAGGGGCCUGAGGUUUUCCGCGAAGCAGGUGCGUCGGCGGGCAGCGCUCGCCGAGGUUCUGAGUUUAGCUCCUGGGUUGGGAUAGGGGAAGGCGCUAAUCGAUUACAGAAGUCCCCUGCCGAGAUCGCGGGCUCGGGGCGCGACACUGACAAAUCGGGGAGCCUGCUCCAGUGUGCGAAGAAAUGCUAAUGAGAGACGUGACCCAAGAGGUCCCAAGGGAGCAAACCUGAAAGCCCAGCGCCUCUUGAACACACAGAGGGCGAGAUGAUAUUAGCCACUGUUUCCAGAUAGAAGAAGCAUCGCUUCCUCCAGCAGAUUGAUAGAUGAAGCGUAAAACAGGACCAGAUGCUGUGGUUUCCAGGAUGCAGUUGGCUUCCCAUGCUUUAUGACCUGGAGCACUUAUUGCUAAGUCUGUAAGGACAAAGAUUCCUUCCCAUCUCCACAAUAUUUGCAUGAAGACUUCACCUCUCGAGGUUCUAACCAUAGCCUCUUGUCUGGCAGUGUUUCCACUGACUGGUGAAGAGAUCAUGCCUCUCUCUUUGACCUCUUGCUUCUCUCAUUCUCAAUCUUAAUACAGCCCUCUGGCUGACUUUUACUGAUUAGUAGUCAAUAAACCAUUUUUGAUAGUUAUA